UACGUAGGGUGCGAGCGUUAAUCGGAAUUACUGGGCGUAAAGCGUGCGCGGGCGGUCUGUUAAGACCGAUGUGAAAUCCCCGGGCUUAACCUGGGAACUGCAUUGGUGACUGGCAGGCUUUGAGUGUGGCAGAGGGAGGUAGAAUUCCACGUGUAGCAGUGAAAUGCGUAGAGAUGUGGAGGAACACCGAUGGCGAAGGCAGCCUCCUGGGCCAGCACUGACGCUCAUGCACGAAAGCGUGGGAGCAAACAGG
rnacentral:rRNA from 1 species